rnacentral:rRNA from 1 species
GACGAACGCUGGCGGCGUGCCUAAUACAUGCAAGUCGAGCGGAAUGAUGAAGAAGCUUGCUUCUUCUGAUUUUAGCGGCGGACGGGUGAGUAACACGUGGGCAACCUACCUUGUAGAUUGGGAUAACUCCGGGAAACCGGGGCUAAUACCGAAUAAUCCAUUUCGCUUCCUGGCGGAAUGCUAAAAGGCGGCUUUUAGCUGUCACUGCAAGAUGGGCCCGCGGCGCAUUAGCUAGUUGGUAGGGUAACGGCCUACCAAGGCGACGAUGCGUAGCCGACCUGAGAGGGUGAUCGGCCACACUGGGACUGAGACACGGCCCAGACUCCUACGGGAGGCAGCAGUAGGGAAUCUUCCACAAUGGACGAAAGUCUGAUGGAGCAACGCCGCGUGAGUGAAGAAGGUUUUCGGAUCGUAAAACUCUGUUGUAAGGGAAGAACACGUACGAGAGUAACUGCUCGUACCUUGACGGUACCUUAUUAGAAAGCCACGGCUAACUACGUGCCAGCAGCCGCAGUAAGAC